UACGUAGGGUGCGAGCGUUGUCCGGAGUUACUGGGCGUAAAGAGCUUGUAGGUGGUUUGUCGCGUUGUUCGUGAAAUCUCACGGCUCAACUGUGAGCGUGCGGGCGAUACGGGCAGACUAGAGUACUGCAGGGGAGACUGGAAUUCCUGGUGUAGCGGUGGAAUGCGCAGAUAUCAGGAGGAACACCGGUGGCGAAGGCGGCUGUCUGGACACUUACUGACGCUGAGACGCGAAAGCGUGGGGAGCAAACAGG
rnacentral:rRNA from 1 species